CACCCCGCUGACGAGCGGCGGACGGGUGAGUAAUGCUUAGGAAUCUGCCCAGUAGUGGGGGACAACAGUCGGAAACGGCUGCUAAUACCGCAUACGCCCUACGGGGGAAAGCAGGGGAUCUUCGGACCUUGCGCUAUUGGAUGAGCCUAAGUCGGAUUAGCUAGUUGGUGGGGUAAAGGCCUACCAAGGCGACGAUCCGUAGCUGGUCUGAGAGGAUGAUCAGCCACAUCGGGACUGAGACACGGCCCGAACUCCUACGGGAGGCAGCAGUGGGGAAUAUUGGACAAUGGGGGCAACCCUGAUCCAGCCAUGCCGCGUGUGUGAAGAAGGCUUUCGGGUUGUAAAGCACUUUCAGCGAGGAGGAAGGCCUUAAAGUUAAUACCUUUAAGGAUUGACGUUACUCGCAGAAGAAGCACCGGCUAACUCCGUGCCAGCAGCCGCGGUAAUACGGAGGGUGCAAGCGUUAAUCGGAAUUACUGGGCGUAAAGCGCGCGUAGGUGGUUUGGUAAGCGAGAUGUGAAAGCCCCGGGCUUAACCUGGGAACGGCAUUUCGAACUGUCAGACUAGAGUGUGGUAGAGGGUAGUGGAAUUUC
rnacentral:rRNA from 1 species